CCUACGGGCGUCAGCAGUGGGGAAUAUUGCACAAUGGCGGAAACCCUGAUGCAGCGACGCCGCGUGGGCGAAGAAGUAUUUCGGUUUGUACAGCUCUAUCUGCAGGGAAGUAAAGAUGACGGUACCUGAGUAAGAAGCACCGGCUAAAUACGUGCCAGCAGCCGCGGUAAUACGUAUGGUGCAAGCGGUAUCCGGAUUUACUGGGUGUAAAGGGUGCGCAGGGGGCACGGCAAGCCUGGGGUGAAAGCCCGCGGCCCAAUCGCGGUACUGCAUUGGGAACUACCGGGCUGGAGUGCGGGAGAGGUAGGCGGAAUGCCUAGUGUAGCGGUGAAAUGCGUAGAUAUUAGGAGGAACACCAGUGGCGAAGGCGGCCUACUGGACGGUGACUGACGCUGAGGCUCGAAAGCGUGGGGAGCAAACAGGAUUAGAUACCCCAGUAGUC
rnacentral:rRNA from 1 species